UACAAUACAGGCCACACAUGACAAACCCACAGCUAACAUUAUACUCAAUGGAGAGAAAUUGAAAGCGUAUCCCUUGAGGCCAGGAACAAAGCAAGGAUGCCCACUCUCACGACUCCUAUCCAGUAAAGUACUAGAAGUCCCAACUAGAGCAAUCAGGCAAGACAAAGAAAUAAAAGGAAUCCGAAUUGGAAAGGAAGACGUAAAAUUGUCAUUAUUGCGGUAUAUAGGAAAUCCCAAAGAAUUAGUCAAAAAAAAGUGCAAUUGAUCAGUGAUUUCAUCAACGUGGCAGGAGACAAAAAUCAACAUACAAAAAUCAAUCGCAUUCCUUUACACUAAUGAGGAAGCAUCUGAGAAAUAAAACUGUCCCGUUCCAAAUUGUGUAAAAAAUGAAAAUAGGAAUAAAUUUAACCAAAGAAGUAAAAGGUCUAUACAAAGAAACCUACAUACCUUUGCUGAAGAAAAAAAAAAAAAAAGAACACACAAACAAAUGGGAAGACAUCCUAUGUUCAGGAUCAGAAGACUUAAUACUGUUAAAAUGGCCAUCCUACUCCAAGCCAUCCACAUAUUAAGCACAAUCCCCAUCAAAAUACCAAAGACAUUAUUCACAAAAAUAGAAGAAACACUCCUAAAAUUGGUGUGGAAUCACAAAGACCCCCAGUAGCCAAAGCGAUCCUGAGAAAAAAGAACAAAGCUGGAGGUAUCACUAUAAACUAGUUUAUAACAUCACCGUGUGUGUGUGUAUGUGUGAUUAAAACUAUAACUAGUUUGAACUAGUUCAAAGCCAUAGUAGUAAAAGCUGUAUGGUACUGGCACAAAAAUAGACGCAUCGACCAAUGGAACAGAACAGAGAGCCCAGAAUUGAAUGCCAGCAUAUAUGGUCAACUAAUAUUGAACAAGGGAGCCAAGAGUACUCAAUGGGUAAAGGGCAAUCUCUUUAGCAAAUGGUGUUGGGAAAACUGGAGAAACACGUGUAGAACAAUGAAACUAGAUCCCUAUCUCACGCCACUCACACAAAUUAACUUGAAAUGGAUCCAAGACUUAAACAGUAGACCUGAUAACAAAAAGCUCCAAGGAGAAAACAUAGGGAAGAAGAUCACCCAUAUUGGUUGUGGCAAUAAUUUGGGAGACAUGAUGCCAAAAUAUACAAAGAACCCAGUGAACUCAAUAAAAUAAAACCCCAAGCAAUUUGACUAAAAAACAGACUGAACUAAAUUAGACAUUUCUUUGAAGAGGACAUAAAAAUGACCAGCAGGGGCACCUGGGCGGCCCAGUCAGUUAAGCAUCUGACUCUUGAUCUCAGCUCAGAUCUUGAUCUCAGGGUUGUGAGUCCAAGCCCCGUGGUGGGCUCCACGCUGGGUGUGGAGCCUACUUUUAAGAAAACUGACGAGCAGACACAUGAAAAGAUGCUCAACAUUGCUAAUCAUCAGGGAAAUGCAAAAUCAAAACCAAGAUGAGCCAUCACCUCACACCUGUUCGAAUGGCUAUCAUCAAGAAGAGACAACAGGUACUUACAAGGACGUGAUGAAAAAGGAAGCCUUAUACAUUGUUGGUGCUGAUCUAAAUUGGUCCAGCCACCAUGGAAAGCAGUAUGAGGGUUCCUCAAAAAUUUAAAAGUAGAUAAUACAAUCCAAGAAUUCCACUCCUAAGUAUAUAUCCAAAGGAGAUGAAAAUAGUUUGAUUUCAAGGAGAUAUAUACACUUCUAUGUGUAUCACAGCAUUAUUCACAGUAGCCGAAAUAUGGAAACAACCCAAAUGCCCAUCAAUGGAUGAGUGGAUUAAAAAGAUACAUAUACAGAGUGGAAUAUUAUUCAGCCACGAGGAAGGAAAGAUAUCCUGCCAUUUUGCAAUGACAUGGAUGGACCUUGGGCACAUUAUGCUAAUUGAGAUAAGUCAAAGACAAGUACUGUAUGAUAUCACUUACGUGUGGAAUCAAAAAAAAAAAAAAAAACCCAAAUCUGUAAAAGACAGGAACAUGGUGAUUACCAGGGAAUGGGGUGGGGGCUCAGGGAGGGAUAAGAGUGACGGUUUAAGGGACAAAAUUAUAAUGAAUAGUAAAUAAGCUGUAGAGAUUUAAGGCACAGUAUAAUGAGCAUAAUGUCAUAUUAUAGUUACACACGGAGAUAGAUACAUCAGCAACCAUAUUACAGCAUAUAAGUAUAUCAUAGGAAUGCUGUACACCUUACACUUCCACAAUACUGCACAUACAAUUUGUUCAAUAAAUUUUCAAAAAGGUAACAGGAACUAACGGGAAGUAAGGUUUCAACUCUUCACUUAAAGAGGCAAAGCACUGAUACCAGAAUAUGAUAAAUGACAUAUUUAUAUUGUAAUACCUAGGGCGACUCUAAGAGAACUCUACAAAACUACUCCCUCAGAAACACUGAAGACAUCAAAAGGAUAUCAAGAGAAUAUUUCAGAACAACUCCACACACAUAUACACGACCACUUAGAUGAAAUGGAUCAAUUCCGCAAAAGCACCCAUUACAACUUACCCAAUAGGAAAUAGGUCAUUUUUAUAGCCCUAUAACUUCAGGAGAUUAAAUUUUUUUCAGGAGAUUAAAAUUUUAAUUUAAAAAUUCAGAAGAAGGGAUUCCCAGGUACGGAUGGCUUCACUGGAGAUUUCACCCAAAUUUUUAAGAAAGAAUUAAUUAUAAUGCCACACAAUUUCUUCCAAAAAACAGACUAGGAGGGACUACUUUUCAAUUCAUUUUAUAUAGAAUUUCCCUGAUAACAAAACCAAAGAUAGUACCAAAGCAGGAAAGUACAAAUAUCCCUCAUGAAUAUAGAUGGAAAAGUCCCUUUAAAACGUUAGCAAACAGAAUUCAGCAAUAUAUGAAAAGCAAUAUCCGCCAUGACCAGUGGGAUCUGUUCUAGGAAUGCAAAGUUGUUUCAGUAUUCAAAAUUGUGCAAUGUAAUGUACGAUAUCAAUAGGUAAAUAAUAAAAAUCACAUGGUCAUAUCAGCUGAUGCAUAAAGAGCAUUUGACAAAAAUCCAACACCUUUUCAUGACAAAAACACUCAGAAAAAAAUAGAAAAGGGAACAUCUUCAAUUUGAUAAACGCUGUCUACCGAAAAACAAAACAAAACAAAAAAACUUGUACCUAACAUUAUACUUAACAGUGAAAGACUGACUUCCUCUUAAGAUCAAGAACAAGGCAAAGAUGUUCACGCAUCAUUCUUAUUCAACAGAGUACUGGAAGUUAUAGCCACUGCAAUAACACAAGAAAAGCCAAUAAAAGACAUACAUAUCGGGAAAAAAAGAAAACUGUGUAAUAUCCAGAAUAUAUAAAGGUCUCCUACAACUCAACAACAACCAAAACAAAACAAAAACUCAAAACUGGGCAGAGGACUUGAAUAGACAUUUGUCCCAGCAGAAUAAACAGAUGGUCAGUAAGCACUUGAGAAAAUGGUCAAAUCACGAGUCAUCAAGCAAAUGCUAAUCAAAACCGCAACAAGAUACCACUUCACACCCACGGGGGGGGUGCUAUUAUAAGAAUAAUAUAUUUUUUUUAAUGAACAGAGAAAGACAAGUGUUCGUGAGGAAGUGGGGAAGUUGUUAUGUGCUGCUGGGAGGGAUGUGAAAUGGUGCAGCCUCUACGGAAAAUGCUACAGUGGUUCCUCAAAACAUUAAAAUUAGAAUUACCAUAUGAUCCAGCAAUUCCACGUCUGGGUAUAAUCUCAAAGGAAUUGAAAGCAGGGACUUGUAUCAUCGUGGCUGUAGCAGCGUUAUGUACAACAGUGUUAGGGAAGCAACCCCCCCCCAAAAGAAAUACAAUUUAAAAAAAAAGAACAAAGGAAACUGUCGCUAUUUGAAGAUGACAUCGUAGUCAAAGCGCCGAAACCCAAAGACAAGGAGAAAAAUCACGAAAGCGGGAAUAGGACAAAGGGAGCGCUGCAACAAAAAUUAAUGGGUGACUUUUCAUCAGAAACAAUGGUGCCCAGAAAGCAGUGAGGUAACGUAUCUAGAGGAAAAAAAAAAUUAAAAGAAUCUUGCAUCCAGAAAGAUUAUCUUUUACAAGGAAAACAGAAUACAGACAUUCCCAGAUAGAUAAAAACAGAGAAUUCCUUGUUAGUCAUCCAGUUUACAAGAACUGUGGAAGGACAUUUUUCAGGCAGGGAGUGACUCCGCAUAGGAAAUCGAAUUCGCAGAUAGAAAAUGAAAAGUAUCCAUAAAGGUAAUUAUGUAAUAACAUGGGAAAAUAUAAAUGCGUGUUUCUUCCCAUUUCUCAGAACUAAUUUAGAGAGCAAAUGUAUAAAACGUGUAUUUAGUUGUAUUGUUGGCUUGUACCAUAGAGAAUGUAAUAUAUUUGUCAAUGCCAACUCAAAGCAGGUUGGUUGUUGCAAAGCUGUAUUGAGCUAAGGAAAGGCCACCCAUGGGUAAUUCGAAUCCACGGGAAGAAAUGAAAAGGAUCAAAAAUGUUCAUUAAGAAGGUUAAUAGGACAAACACUGUAUACACCUUUGGGCUUGUAACAAAAAUAUACAUAAAUAUAUUUAACGAUAAUAUCACAGAAAUGGGUAAAACGGAAUAAAGGAAUAUCGGGGCAACUUCUGUAUCUAACCAGGCUUAGGUGAGUGUAAAUCUGAAGUUAAGAUGUAGAUGAUGAAUAUAAGAACAACCACUAAGGAAAUAGUGAAGAACUAUUUAGAAAAAUCUUAAAAACUAUAUUAGAAAAUAUUCACUAAAUGCAUAAGAAAGCAGUAAAGGAGAAAGAGAGGAAGAAAAAAAAAUACAGCAGAUAGAAAACAAAAAGUAAGGGGCAGACAUCAAUCCAACUGUAUCAGUAACAUUGAACAUGGGUGGAUCAAACCAUCAAAAGGCAGAGCUAAUCAGACUGGAUUAAAAAAUGAAGUCCAGUGAGACACUGUCUAUAGCAGGCAUACUUGAGGUUCAAGUACACAAACAGAUUGAAAGCAAAGGGAUGGAAAAAGACAGAUCAUGUGAACAGCAACCACACAUACGGGGGUGUUACGCUGAAAUCACAGUGGCCACAGAAACAGCCCGUGUGACAACUGUUUGAGACUUCAGUAUGCCACUUGCAAUGAUGCAUAGAACAAAAAAGGGGAAUAUCAACAAGGAAAGAGAAGAUAUGAACAAUAAAUCCGCUAUACCCAAUGGAUGACUGCAGAACACGAACAACAACCAAAGAAUAUUUGGUCUUUUCAAGUGCCCAUGGAGCAUUCUCCAAGAGGGAACAUAUUGCUGUCCCAGAAGACAAACUUCAAUACAUUCUAAAGGAUUAUAAUACUGUGUUUUCUAACACCAUGGAAUAAAAGUAGAAAUAUGUGGCAUUUAAACAAUGUACUCUUUAAAAAAAUUUUUUUUAAAUUUAUUUUCAAGGGAGAGAGACAGCGCGUGAGCAGGGGAGGGGCAGAGAAAGACAGAGACACAGAUUCUGAAGCAGGCUCCAGGCUCUGAGGUGUCAGUCCAGAGCCCGACGUGGGGCUCGAACCCACAAGCCGUGAGAUCAUGACCUGAGCUGAAGUCAGACGCUCAACCGACUGAGCCACCCAGCACCCCUAAACAACAUACUCUUAACUGACCAAUAUAUCAAAGAAGAAUUCAUAAGAAAAAUUAGAAAAUAUCUUGAGAUGAAUGAAAAUGAAACCACAAAAUACCAGAACUUCUGGGAUACAGUUACAACAGUGCUAAAAGGGAAAUUUAUGGCUGUAGAGGCCCACAUUAAAAAAGAAAAGAGAACUCGCAUCAUUCACCUAACUCUCCACUGGAGGAAACUAGAAGAAAAAAAAGAAAAAAAACCUAACCCUAAAGCGAGAAUAAGAAAUUAAAUAAUAAAGAUUAUAGUGGGAAUUAAUGAAAUAGGGGACGGAAAAAUAAUAGAGUCAAUGAAACCAAACAUUCAUUAUUUGAAAGAUCAACAAAAUUGGGAAACCACUGGCUACGCUAAUGAGGGAGAGAAAACUCAGAUUGCUACAAUUAGAAAUGGCUUUGCAGAAAUAAAAAAGAUUUAAAUGAAUGCUACACACAAUUUCAUAACAAUAAAUUAUACAACUUUGAUAAAAUGGACAAAUUCCUAGAAAGUAAAAAGAAAAAAAAAAACUACUACAACCGAUCAGAAAUAAGUAGAAAAUCUGAAUGUAUCUAUAACAAAUAAAGAGAUUGAAUUAGUAAUCAAGACACUACCCACAAACAAAAGCCCACAAGGCCCAGAUGGUUUCACUGAUAAAUUCUACCAAGAACUUAAAGAAUAAAAAUUCUUUAUAAACUCUUCCAAAAAGGAGAGUAGAACGGGAGGAGGAAACGCCCCCAACACACUCUGCAAGGGUGACAUUGCCCUGCUACCAAACCAGGAAAAAAUGUGGCAAGAACAGAGAACUGGCGAACAGCAACUCCUAUCAAAAUAGAUGCAAAAUGCUCAACAAAAUACCAGCAAAUACAAUCCAGCACUAGAAAGAAAGGAUUAUACACUAUGACCAAGUGGGAUUUGUUCCAGGAAUGCAAGGUUGGAUUAACAUCUCAACAUCAAUGAAUCUAAUGCACCGUAUCAGUAAAAUAAAGGGCAAAAACUACAUGAUUAUCGGUCGAAGAAAAGACACAGAAAAAGCAUUUGGUAAAAUUCAAUACUCUUCCGGGAUGAUAAAACAGGGCUUUAGUAUACCAGGAACAGAAAGGAACUUCCUCAGUCUGAUAAAAAGGCAUAUAGUAAAAAACCAGAACUAACAUGGUACUUAGUGGUGAGAGACUAAGUGCUUUCCUCUUAAGAUCUGUAACAAGACAAAGAUGUCUGUUCCCACCACGUCUAUUCACUAUGUUGGAGGUUCGAUACAGGACAAUUAGGCAAGAAAAAUAAAUGCAUCCGGUUUGGAAAGAAA